CCGGCAGGGGCGCCCCCCAGAGGGGCCCCAUGGGGCCAGGGAUCCGCGCCGCCGCCGGGAUGCUGCUGCUUCUUCUUCAUCGCCUGCUCCGCCGCCUCGCACAGCCUGCCCGUGCCAGGAAAAGAAACUUGAUUCUCCUUCUCUAUCCCAAGCUGCUUCCAAAAGGCCGAUAAAAGGUACUUGGAUAUAGGUUUCAAGAGUUUGCUGAGAUGGUCUAAGAGCAAGCGGUGUACGUGAUAAUUAAACCAACCGCUCCUCGCCCCGUCUCCCUGGAAGAGAAACAGAAGAGGAUGCUUUCUUCUUGCUGGCCCUGGCCGUCCAGCUACGCAUCCACGUAGCGACCGGAGAGGCAGGGGGUGGGAGAGGUCCAGAGCGGACUCAAGGAGGUCAUUCUGCUAGCAGAAAUGAAGGGGAAAGAGCCCUUUCAUACCCAUUUCAUCCCUGCCUCCCUUCUUUCCAAGAGAAUCUUCUGGACCUAAAAGAGGACCUCCGGGCAGAAAGGCUGCAUCGAACAGAUCCGCUGGCGGGAUGGGUGAUGCGCGAAAGAGCUGCUCGCACCAGCACACUCUCAGGAAGAAUAAUUCAUUGGUGUAUACACAGGCUGUACCACCUGAGGCUCAAGUGACUUGCCCAAGGUCACGGAGCUACCAGGAGUCGGGUUAGGAGCCACUCAAAUCUCUUUGACCCUGAAGCCCACUAUACAAACCACUGCACGGUAUUAUCACCCAGCCCGGGCCCUUUCCCUCAUAAUUUUCAUGAAGAUUGGAGAAUGAGUUAUAACUUAUUUUUAGCCCAGGCCACCUUGAGGAAGGAAACCUCAAUUUCUGGUGCCUCUCGUCUCUGGCUCCCUACUUGCUCUGUACGUUCUGGUAGCUGACAACAGGAUGAAAGGAAGAAUGGGGAGUCAGCUACAGCUAUGUUUCUGUGACUGUACUCCUGAAAACCUUCAUAAAGUUGGGUGUCUGAAGAAUUUUCUACGGAAAACUAGGAAAUAGGUUCCUGAGAUUAAGAACUUACAAUGUAAGAAUAAUAUGGUUUAGCUAAAAUCCAUGCAUGAGCAUCUCUGGUUUCUGAUUUGAAACCAAUGAAGAAGACACAUCGAUCCUAAGCUGGGGAGAAUUAUAGAUGGGGUGGGUGGUGUCACACAUCCACACACACACACUCACACGUGCAUGCUCACAAAUUCUACUUCCCAAUUUUAUGUUGCCCUAGCCUGCCUUCUCUGGUAGAGGAAGGCUGCUUCCCAAGAGAAGAAAAGUCCCUUUGUUCUGCCCCAGAAAAUCCUAAAUAGAGUGUUAAUGGUUUGUUUCACA